GACGGAGGGUGCUAGCGUUGUUCGGAAUUACUGGGCGUAAAGGGCGCGUAGGCGGCCUCUUAAGUCGGGUGUGAAAGCCCGGGGCUCAACCCCGGAACGGCACCCGAGACUGCGGGGCUGGAGACCGGAAGAGGUGAGUGGAAUACCCAGUGUAGAGGUGAAAUUCGUAGAUAUUGGGUGGAACACCGGUGGCGAAAGCGGCUCACUGGUCCGGUUCUGACGCUGAGGCGCGAAAGCGUGGGGAGCAAACAGG
rnacentral:rRNA from 1 species